rnacentral:lncRNA from 1 species
GAAAUUAGAGGACUGUGGUUUGAAUGGACUCUGGAAGAGUGGCGCUGGCGGACCAUUACCCUUGGCGCAGCGCUGCCCUGACCCAGCUUCUUGUUCGCAAACCUCACUGUGCUCUUUCUGUAACCAGGUGUGGCAAACACAAUAUGGCUGAGGUUGAGGAAAUGGAGCAGUCAGAACUGAAGAAGACAGAAAUUGAAGAGAAAACUCUCCUGCCUCCACAGUAAGCGAUGGAACAGGGAAAACGAGCCAGGGAAUUGUAAAGAGGAGAAGGCUCCAAUAGGCAAGAUUGCCUUCUUCUUGUAUUCUGAUCUGUUGUUUAACUUUGUCAAAUGUACAGGUCAAGUGUAAAGGACCAAGCUGCCUCUCACAUUACCAAGAACCACAAACAACAAAGGUGACAGUCACCCCUGCCUCUGCCUCCUGCAGGUCUGCCUGACAAGAGACCUUCCUUCCAUGCUGGUAGAGGAACACCCGGCUGGAAGCGGUGAAAUCUGGAGUAAAAUCUAAAAUGCUCAAAGGUGUCUGACCAGCAGAUGCAGUAAGAUGCAGUUUAAUCGAGUGCCAUUUUUGUCCACAGGAUUUUAAGUUUUGGAAUGCAGAGAUUUUAAUAAGCAAAUUAUAAAAACACGUAAGAAAAAAUUAAAGGCAUAAUUUGCCAAAGGAUGGAUAACAAAUCUUGGAAGACCAAAGACCUGCUGCCUGAGUUGUCAGGUUAUAUGCACAUCACUCUAGACUUGGAGUUUUUCAGUUUUUGAUUUGUCUUUCUUGUGCAUGGCAGUAUUUACUUUUAAUAGGUUAUCAGCAGACCAGAUAAUAACAAGUAACAAGAUCUGGGAUCAUAUUACGUAAGAGCUUUUCAAUAAUAGCUUUAACAGAAACCAACAGUCUAAAAGGUGUACUCAUGUUCAUUUUUCCAACCCUUGGCAGGAAUGGACCAAUUUUAAAGAGGCUAUUGCCUCAUGCAAGAGAUAGUAUCUAUUUACAUCUGUUUUGGAAAGAAAGCUCUUAACUUUUAAGAAAGUUUGGUGGUUAAACUUCACUUUUAAGAAAGUUUGGUGGUUAAACUUCAUUGUCAACAUGAUGGAAUUUUGAGACACCAUGGAAACAAGUCUCUGGUUAUAUUGAUUGUCAAUUACACAGGAUAUAAAAUCGCUUCAGACACCAAUCUUUGGGCGUUUUUGUGAGAGGUUUUGUAGAAUAGGUUAACUGAGUUUGAAGAGCUACCUGCCUAGUCAGAAUGAGAAGGAGCCCAUGAGCUGCUGAGCUCGGCAGUCUCAUCUCCUCACCGAGGAGGCAGUGUAGGUUGGGUAUUAUUACACUACCGUUAGGGCUGGAACUCUUCAAGGUACAGGACUUUAAGCUGCACAUUGUGAAUGUUGAAAAGUAAUAGCAGUGAACUCCAGGCCAAUUGAUUUUAUUUAUCUAAUAAUAAAUAGUAAUUUGUGGUUUUCGUACUUAAGAUAAUGUGUACGGUUGUGAGUGUGUAUGUGUGUGUGAUAGAAUUUCAUCUAUAAAAUAACUGCUACUUAUACAAAACAAAGUGAAUUGAAUGCUAAGCUUUAACACUGGAUUCACCGAAUUAAAAGGAAGUUGUUCUCAAUGCAAAUAUAUUGUUACUUUAGAGUCUCUGUGUGAGUAAAAUAAUGCACACAACGAUCACUACAUCUGUUCUUUAACCCCUGUGAUUAAGUUAACUUCCAUGGCAAAAGGGACUUUUCAAAUGUGGGUAAGGAUCAUGAAAUGAGAGUUAUUCUGAGUACCUAUGUAAGCUCAGAAUUACAGAGUCCUAGUAAGAGCAAAGCGGAGGAUCAGAGAAAGAAGGCUUGUAUUGUAGUGUGAAUAUAAAAUGUCCCUCGUAGGCUCCCAUGUUUCAACACACGGUCCUCAGCUGGUGGCUCUGUCUGGAAAAGCUAUGGCAGCUGUAAGAAGUGGAGCCCCUUAAAACCAAAAUCCUAGA